GUUCACAGACUCAUUGCCAGAUUGUUUUUGGCCUUCAUGCAAGACUCUCCAACAUUUUCCUUUGGACUGAUCUCCCAUUGCCGACCCUGUCUGCCUUGGACUAACCUGCCCCGUCGGUCUCCCAGUAAACUAUUCUGCCUUUUGUCCCGGACCACGAUCUGUGUUUUUUCCCUUACUGGUGUUUGUCUGCUGGUGUGGCGUUCUGCUGGAUUACAUCUACUUGCUGGACUUGUACAAGAGUAGCAUGAUGAACCUGAGAAGUCAGAGCAAAGAACAACAGGAGAUGGCAUAAGAGAGGACCAAAAGAACCCAUGGUGGCAAGAGCAAAUGACAGCACUCAUCUACACUGAGCCACCCAGUAAAUCAAAGCAACAUCAACAAUAAUCUGACUGUGGAGGGAUCAUGUUGUAUCAGAUGCAGUAGCGUGGUGGACCUGGGAGGACAGGCUGGAGGAAUUAGGAUGACAUGAAGAGACGGCAGCAAAGCUUGGCAGACGCGUUGAGUCUCAUGAAUAUUGUGUGUCAUGUAAAUCACAAAAUAAGUGAUUUGCAAAUGGCUGCCUGAUUUGUACUGAGGGAACCCACGGUGGCAACAGUCCUGCCACACUGACAUUUUGCAUCAGUUUGUUUGGUGCAGUAACUAUGUCAUGCCAUCACAAGUGACUUUUUUUUUUUUUUACAAUGGGUUGUUUAUGCUGCUCAACUGAAUUUAUAAACGGGAAUUACAUAAUACAUUUUGAUUCUACAAGACUCCAACCCUCAUCUGAACUGUGCCCUGAGCCCUCCAAGCCCACCUUUAAACUUGUUUAUCUACACUGUUGCCCACAGAGUUGAGAGAAUUUUGUUUUCAGACACAUUUGCUGCUGCACUAUAAUUUCCCAG